GUCACUGUUGCUUUUGGUGGCCAUGCCACCUGCAACACACUAAUAUAUUCAUGGGUUAUCCUGUUGUUUAAGAUGCCUUUUGAUCGGCGACUUCAUGCACGAUAUCUAUGUGUACAUACAUAUAUGUGGAUUGAUUGAUGAUGCAUUUCUUUAGAUCUAAGCUUUGAUUCUUUACGUUUCCGUGAGGUCCCCUUACCUUUUGUGUUUUGUGCAGUUCUAUCCAUGGCUGCUGCGGUUUACAGUUGCAUCAUAGAGCUUAGAGCGUUCUUGAACUGAUGUUACGGGGUGACGAAUCAGGUGAACGAGCACGGAGAGCACCGGCGGCGUACAGCCCUCAGGUGCAGCGACAGGCAAGACGUAUGGAUCGAUGUCAGAUGUGGAGAAUCGUUUAGCGUGUAUCUGAUCAGAUGAGAGAGUUGUGCUGAGAGGACAUGACCUUUGUUUUGUGACACCACAAACUCAUGAAGCAUGUGACUUGAUUCCCACAUGAAACUUGGAUUUCACCGCACAACCUCGUUACAGCAGCUAGCGAGGUGGGUGGAGCUGGGAGAGAGAAGUGCAAGCAGCAUGGUGAAUCUAGGAUAGCCUCA
rnacentral:lncRNA from 1 species